rnacentral:rRNA from 1 species
UACGUAGGGUCCGAGCGUUGUCCGGAAUUACUGGGCGUAAAGAGCUCGUAGGUGGUUUGUCGCGUUGUCCGUGAAAACUCACAGCUCAACUGUGGGCGUGCGGGCGAUACGGGCAGACUGGAGUACUGCAGGGGAGACUGGAAUUCCUGGUGUAGCGGUGGAAUGCGCAGAUAUCAGGAGGAACACCGGUGGCGAAGGCGGGUCUCUGGGCAGUAACUGACGCUGAGGAGCGAAGGCGUGGGGAGCGAACAGG